GUCCCCUGCCUAUCAUUACUCUAGAAAAUUUUUGCCCCAAGACUUUCAAAAUCUCCAAACCCAAACGCUCCGCCACUGCCGCCCAAAGCCGACCAUCGUCGACCAUCCGUCGCAGCAACCUCCAAGCACCGGUGACCCCUCCGACCCAACCUCCAAUGACCUCAUAUCUGGUUUUCACCCAACUCGUUCACUGACUUGGGAUCCGUAUAUCCCUUCCCCUUUCAUUUUCACCUAAAAUCUCCCCAAAUCUCUCCCUCCAUCUCCAUCUUCCCUCUCCCCCCACCGAUCGCCGACCACGAGCAUCAACGCCGACCCAAUGGCCGAGCACUGGUGACACAGCAACUCCAUCUCCGGCAACCACAAAUUUCAAUUUUUUUUCCAACCGUGCCACCUCUCUCUUCAACCAUGCUCCUCCCUCUCCCCCCUUCACCACUGACGAUCCAGGCCACCAAAAUAGGGUUUGUGCACAUCAAGAACCUUGGAUCUAAGCUUCUGAUUCUCCUAAACGUUGCCAAUACUCAACUUCUAACGAAAAAUUUGAAAAAUAAGGUAAUGUUGAGAAGUUGUUUGAAGAACUUACAAAAGCUAGGUGUACCAGGUAUACAUUUGUAUACAAUACUUUGCUCAAAGCAUAUGUGAAGGCCAAGAAAUAUGAUCCAAAUUUUUUGAGAAGGAUGAUUCUAGGAGGGUCUAGGCCAGACUCUGAGACCUAUAGCCUGAUUUAACUUGCUGAGCAGUUUCGGAGGUAUUGUAAUCUGCUAUAAUACUCGUUUUCCUUGAUUUUUAGUGCAAAGAUGUGGCUUAUCAAAUUUGUGAGUAGAAAAGAAGUAGGAGAUUUGGGAGGAUCGUACAGUUAUUCUAGUUACAGCUGGGAUUAUAGUAUAGAUGCUUAAAGAAUAAUAUGCAGUUUUACUUGU